rnacentral:rRNA from 1 species
UACGGGGGGAGCAAGCGUUGUUCGGAUUUACUGGGCGUAAAGGGCGCGUAGGCGGUCGUGACAAGUCACUUGUGAAAUCUCCGGGCUUAACUCGGAACGGUCAAGUGAUACUGUCGGACUAGAGUACAGAAGGGGCAACUGGAAUUCUCGGUGUAGCGGUGAAAUGCGUAGAUAUCGGGAGGAACACCUGUGGCGAAGGCGGCCCCCUGGUUGGAUACUGACGCUGAUACGCGAAAGCGUGGGGAGCAAACAGG